GGAUAUUCGGGCCUCGAUCUGGACCUUGAUGGCUGGGUCGGAAAGUGCUAAUCUUAUGGAGAUAUCUCAGCUACGGCUAUGAUCUGCAAAGAAAUGAUCGAUAAAAUAUCGAUCAUAGAGAGAUAUCUUGACCUAAGUUAGGAUCUUCAUAAAAUUCCUCAUCAAAAUCAUUCUGACCAUUAGAUUGCAUAUUGCAUAGUUUUCAAAGUGCGAUGUUUGCUUCAUGACUUGUAUUAAUAGAUG
rnacentral:lncRNA from 1 species